AUGCCGCGGUGAAUACGUUCCCGGGCCUUGUACACACCGCCCGUCACACCACGAGAGUUUGUAACACCCGAAGUCGGUGGGGUAACCUUUUGGAGCCAGCCGCCUAAGGUGGGAUAGAUGAUUGGGGUGAAGUCGUAACAAGGUAGCCGUAUCGGAAGGUGCGGCUGGAUCACCUCCUUUCU
rnacentral:rRNA from 1 species